UACAGAGGUGGCAAGCGUUGUUCGGAAUUACUGGGCGUAAAGGGCGCGUAGGCGGUCUUGCAAGUCCUGUGUGAAAUCCCUCGGCUCAACUGAGGAACUGCACAGGAAACUGCUUGGCUUGAGUUCGGGAGAGGGAAGCGGAAUUCCGGGUGUAGCGGUGAAAUGCGUAGAUAUCGGAAGGAACGCCGGUGGCGAAAGCGACGUGCUGGACCUCUUCUGACGCUGAGGCGCGAAAGCUAGGGGAGCAAACGGG
rnacentral:rRNA from 1 species